GGAGGAGGAGCCUGCGGAGCGAAGCCUCGGCUGUGGGGAGAGCCGUGCCCGCAGGUCAGGGAGGUGAUCCUGCCCCUAUGAUUACACCAGAUUUCCUGGAGAACUGGGUGGAAGUGCAAGAUAUGGCUACAGAAACAAUUGCUGAGGAGUGAACAGAGUGAAUUAAGCAGAAGAACUGAAAAAUCAAAAGAGGAGCUUAAAAUCAAAGUGAGGACCUGCAAGGCAGGAUAAAAGGACAUCCAGGGCUGUCCUCACCCACAGGAAACACCUUCUGACAUCUUCAUUCCAGCAGCCUUUUCCUUCCCUCUGUUGUUGUCUUUCUCUGUUUUUAAGCACCUCUGGCAGCAAUGCCUUUGGGUUCUAGUGCAGCUCUGGCUCCCUGUGGGGCUCCUGUCAAACUCAAGCCAGGAGCUUCCUCAGGGUCACUCAGAGCUGUGGCAGCUUCUGCUGUCCCUGCCAGGGUGCCUGGCAGUGCUGGCAGCUCAGCCAGCAGCAAGGGCAGAGCAGGUGAUCAGCACAAAUUACCCUCUCGGGACUUGGGACAAAUGAAAUUUGUAUACAAGACCAGCAGGACCUUAGGAAUACUGGUCCUUUGAGAGAAAAGGGAAAAGAACAGGAAGGAUGAUAGCAGACCUCCUUCCAACAGUGACAUACCUGGAGCUCAACUUUAAUCUGACAUUGAAAUUCAUCCAAAUUCAACUAGAAGACAAGAAACUACAAAAUAAAUCCUUCUUGACAUUAAUUAUAUAUAAGCUGUAGCUGUCCUCACAAGACAGUUUCUAGGUAUAGAAAACUUUAAAUUAUGCCUCCCUCAUUUAAGUAAAAUGAUCCUGUUGUAAAAGUAUUUAUUCUAUCUGUCACUUCUGGGUGCUGAGCAGCUUAACUUCUAUAAAGAAAGAGUUCUUAGCUGCUUCUCAAGAAAACUGAGCUGCUUCAGAACCCUUUUCCUUCUUCAGAGCUCUGAAACAAUAAGCAAGAGCAGUUAAUGAUCAUUAUUAGUGGUCAUCCAGGGGAGUGGCUCUGAUGUCUUGUCACUGGUGUCUUGUCACUGCUUCCUGUUUGUGUCACAGCUGUUCCCUGAGCCACGUCACCUUCCAGGGCAAAAGACACGUCUGGUUAUUUUUGUCCUCGAGUUUAGCAGGCAGCACCUCCCUAUGCAUUCCAAACAUUAAUUCCCUUGUCACUCUGAGCCUCAGUGUCUGCUUAGAAUUAAUUUGCCAUGACACACCAAGCCAGCACUUUUAUAAUUAGAGACAUUACCUUAGCAUAGCCAGAAGAAUUUAAGCCAAUCUUAGGUGCAAGGGAGAAACAGAGGCAUCACCAAGGUGUGCACUCGUGUCAGCUCUGCAGGAGGUGAGCAGAGCAUAUUCUGCAAUUGCUUAUUAACAGUACAUUAUGCAAAUUAGGCUUCCCUAGUCAAAUGCUGGGAGUGUGCAGGAAAGAGAAAUAAGCAUACAGUUUGGAGUCAAUAAAUGUAUAAUGCUCUGCCAGCUAACAAAAUUUCAUUUCAGCAUUCUUAACUGCUUCAAAGGCAAAGUGCUCUCAAAUGAGUAACUGAUGUUAGCUCAGAAGCUGGAAGGGUUCCUGUGAACACAGAGGUAUUUAGCAAUAGUUUCUUCCUUUUUCGUCUUUACCCAAAUGAAGUAAAAAGAGACUUGCCACAGAAGUGAUACCUUAUUACUAUUAAUAUAUUAUUUAAAUAUUGGCUAUUUAGAUUCCUGCCUAUGGAAGGAAGAAACUCACCUGAUUAUGGUGUAUCUUUGUAUAAUGAUGACCCUGUUUUUCUUCUGGUUUGGGUGGUGGAGCUUUGAUUUAGGGCAUAAGGUGACCUCCACCCAUUUUCCAGCCACUUGCCAACCCUGUCUACCUCAGAAUCAUCACCUGCUCUGCCCAGGGCCUCUCUAGCUCACUGCUUUUCACCGAGCAUAUCCUUGCCUGGCUCCUCUUGUGAAUCAUUAAAUUACUGUGCAAAGUGAUGGUGAGGUGAUUUGCCUGACUCCUGUGUGAUAGAAAACAAAAAGUAGACUGGUAUUUCUGAACAUCAAUAAACCCGCCCAAAAAUGAAAGAAUCUACAUGGAGGAAUGGGUUUAAAAUCUAAAAUGUUUUUUCAGGCCAGACCAGCUGAACUACUGGGAGGUCUCAGAAGGCUGAGGAGGUCUCAGGUCACAUCCCAGAUGUCACCAGUUUAAACACACAGAAGGCACUGGCUGGAAAAAGCUGAGGGGAAGGGGCAGAGGGUUGGAGUGACCUCAGGAGAUCACCCAGUCCAUUCCUGCUGAGGCAGGGUCACCCAGAGCAGUGACACAAAGCACAUCCAGGGGGGUCUGGAAUGUCUCCAGAGAGGGAACUCUAUCCUCCCUGGGCAGCUGUUCCAGAGCUAUGUCACCCUCCAUGUAAAUAAAUUCUUCCCCAUGUUGAGGUAGAAUUUCUUGUGUUUUAUUUCAUGGCAGCUGCUCCUCAUCCUGAUGCUGGGAACUGAACAAAGUCUGACACUGUUUUAAAAGGAGUCUGGGCAGCAGUGGGGGGAAAUGUUGAGAUCUUUAAUUUGUGAAACAAUUGAAGUUGAUGGGCAAACUCUGGGUGAUGUCCAUGUGUUAGAAAAUCCAAUUCAGAGUUUAGGGCUUGACAUAGUUUUUGCUCGCAGACCUGGAGGAGGAAGUUAGCAGAGCCUGACAGGGAAAUUUAUUGUUGACAACUGAACAGAGUUUAUAAACCACAUUACAUAAAGCAGAAAUGCCCUAUCUGGGAAAAGGAUAAUAAAAAAACUGAAAAACACAGACUAAUUAGCAUGAGAAGCGAGAAAUCAAUAACAAAUAGAAGACAGAAUGCUAAUUAAUGAAGAAAACUCUGUGAAUUGUAAGCUAAUUAAAUUAAUCUCUUUGCUGAAAUGUAUAAAUAGAUAAGCUUUUUUGAUGGCUGACAUGCAUGUUGCGGGGAGCCAUCCUUAUGUUCCUUCAACGCCGAAUCACAAAUGUGAAAAAUGCCAAUCACUUGUUUUUUAAAUUUUAAAGGUUUAAUAGUAACAAAAUGGU